rnacentral:rRNA from 1 species
UAGUACCUCCUGCCCAGUGAAUUUUUCAACGGCCGCGGUACCCUAACCGUGCAAAGGUAGCAUAAUCACUUGUCUAUUAAUUGUAGACUAGAAUGAAGGGAUUAACGAAAUUUAAUCUGUCUCUAAUAAACACACAAAAGUUAUUCUAAGGGUGAAGAAACUCUUAUCAUUAUAUAGGACAAGAAGACCCUAUAGAGCUUAAUUUACCAUCUCUAAAUCUAAGGGAUAAAAAUUCGGUUGGGGCGACCUGAGUAUAAAAAGCACCUCAAAUUUUAAGAUCUACUAAUCAAUAUAAUGACCCAGUCUCUGAUCACCGGAUCAAGCUACCUUAGGGCUAACAGGCUAAUUUUCUUUAAGAGUUCACAUCAACAAGAUAGAUUGGCACCUCGAUGUUGGCUUAGGAUUUCUAAGUAGUGCAGAAGCUAUUAAUAG